rnacentral:rRNA from 1 species
AUUGAACGCUGGCGGCAUGCCUUACACAUGCAAGUCGAACGGCAGCACGGGAGCAAUCCUGGUGGCGAGUGGCGAACGGGUGAGUAAUAUAUCGGAACGUGCCCAGUCGUGGGGGAUAACGCAGCGAAAGCUGUGCUAAUACCGCAUACGAUCUCUGGAUGAAAGCGGGGGACCGUAAGGCCUCGCGCGAUUGGAGCGGCCGAUAUCAGAUUAGCUCGUUGGUGGGGUAAAGGCCCACCAAGGCGACGAUCUGUAGCUGGUCUGAGAGGACGACCAGCCACACUGGAACUGUGACACGGUCCAGACUCCUACGGGAGGCAGCAGUGGGGAAUGUUGGACAAUGGGCGCAAGCCUGAUCCAGCAAUGCCGCGUGCAGGAUGAAGGCCUUCGGGUUGUAAACUGCUUUUGUACGGAACGAAACGGCGAGCUCUAAUAAAGUUUGCUAAUGACGGUACCGUAAGAAUAAGCACCGGCUAACUACGUGCCAGCCGCCGCAGUAA